UGCAGAGGUCUCGAGCGUUGUUCGGAUUCAUUGGGCGUAAAGGGUGCGUAGGCGGCGAGGUAAGUCGGAUGUGAAAUCCCGGGGCUCAACCCCGGAACUGCAUUCGAUACUGCCUUGCUCGAGUACUGGAGAGGAGACUGGAAUUUACGGUGUAGCAGUGAAAUGCGUAGAUAUCGUAAGGAAGACCAGUGGCGAAGGCGAGUCUCUGGACAGUUACUGACGCUGAGGCACGAAGGCCAGGGGAGCAAACGGG
rnacentral:rRNA from 1 species